AUUGAACGCUAGCGGGAUGCCUUACACAUGCAAGUCGAACGGCGUGGCGAACGGGUGAGUACUGUAUCGGAACGUGCCCAGUAGCGGGGGAUAACUACGCGAAAGCGUAGCUAAUACCGCAUACUAUUGGCGCGGCCGCUGUCGGAGUAGCUCGUUGGUGGGGUAACGGCUCACCAAGGCGACGAUCCGGAGCUGGUUUGAGAGGACGACCAGCCACACUGGGACUGAGAAACGGCCCAGACUCCUACGGGAGGCAGCAGUGGGGAAUGUUGGACAAUGGGGGAAACCCUGAUCCAGCAAGCCCGCGUGUGCGAUGAAGGCUUUCGGGUUGUAAAGCACUUUUGGCAGGAAAGCGGGACCUGCAGAAUAAGCACCGGCUAACUACGUGCCAGCCGCCGCGGUAAUUC
rnacentral:rRNA from 1 species